rnacentral:rRNA from 1 species
AACAUUCCGCCUUGGGAAGUACGGUCGCAAGAUUAAAACUCAAAGGAAUAGACGGGGACCCGCACAAGUGGUGGAGCAUGUGGUUUAAUUCGAAGAUACGCGAAGAACCUUACCUGGCCUUGACAUUGAUAGAAUCUGCUAGAGAUAGCGGAGUGCCCUUCGGGGAACUUGAAAACAGGUGCUGCACGGCUGUCGUCAGCUCGUGUCGUGAGAUGUUGGGUUAAGUCCCGCAACGAGCGCAACCCUCGUCACUAGUUACUAACGGUUCGGCCGAGGACUCUAGUGAGACUGCCUUCGUAAGGAGGAGGAAGGUGAGGACGACGUCAAGUCAUCAUGGCCCUUACGGCCAGGGCGACACACGUGCUACAAUGGGAUGUACAAUGAGACGCAAUACCGCGAGGUGGAGCAAAUCUAUAAAGCAUCUCUCAGUUCGGAUUGUAGUCUGCAACUCGACUACAUGAAGCUGGAAUCACUAGUAAUCGUAGAUCAGCCAUGCUACGGUGAAUACGUUCCCGGGUCUUGUACUCACCGCCCGUCACACCAUGGGAGUUGAUUUCACCCGAAGCGGGGAAGCUAAACUGGCUACCCUCCACGGUGGAAUCAGCGACUGGGGUGAAGUCGUAACAAGGUAUCC